UACGAGGGGGGCGAGCGUUGUUCGGAAUUAUUGGGCGUAAAGGGUGCGUAGGCGGUUUGGUAAGUCUGAUGUGAAAUCUAUGGGCUCAACUCAUAGUCUGCAUCGGAAACUGCCGGGCUUGAGUGUGGGAGAGGUGAGUGGAAUUCCGGGUGUAGCGGUGGAAUGCGUAGAGAUCCGGAAGAACACCGGUGGCGAAGGCGGCCUGCUGGGCAGUAGCUGACGCUGAGGCGCGACAGCGUGGGGAGCAAACAGG
rnacentral:rRNA from 1 species